rnacentral:rRNA from 1 species
GAUGAACGCCGGCGGUGUGCCUAAUACAUGCAAGUCGAACGCGUUGGCCCAAUUGAUUGAUGGUGCUUGCACCUGAUUGAUUUUGGUCGCCAACGAGUGGCGGACGGGUGAGUAACACGUAGGUAACCUGCCCAGAAGCGGGGGACAACAUUUGGAAACAGAUGCUAAUACCGCAUAACAGCGUUGUUCGCAUGAACAACGCUUAAAAGAUGGCUUCUCGCUAUCACUUCUGGAUGGACCUGCGGUGCAUUAGCUUGUUGGUGGGGUAAUGGCCUACCAAGGCGAUGAUGCAUAGCCGAGUUGAGAGACUGAUCGGCCACAAUGGGACUGAGACACGGCCCAUACUCCUACGGGAGGCAGCAGUAGGGAAUCUUCCACAAUGGGCGCAAGCCUGAUGGAGCAACACCGCGUGAGUGAAGAAGGGUUUCGGCUCGUAAAGCUCUGUUGUUAAAGAAGAACACGUAUGAGAGUAACUGUUCAUACGUUGACGGUAUUUAACCAGAAAGUCACGGCUAACUACGUGCCAGCAGCCGCGGUAAUACGUAGGUGGCAAGCGUUAUCCGGAUUUAUUGGGCGUAAAGAGAGUGCAGGCGGUUUUCUAAGUCUGAUGUGAAAGCCUUCGGCUUAACCGGAGAAGUGCAUCGGAAACUGGAUAACUUGAGUGCAGAAGAGGGUAGUGGAACUCCAUGUGUAGCGGUGGAAUGCGUAGAUAUAUGGAAGAACACCAGUGGCGAAGGCGGCUACCUGGUCUGCAACUGACGCUGAGACUCGAAAGCAUGGGUAGCGAACAGGAUUAGAUACCCUGGUAGUCCAUGCCGUAAACGAUGAGUGCUAGGUGUUGGAGGGUUUCCGCCCUUCAGUGCCGGAGCUAACGCAUUAAGCACUCCGCCUGGGGAGUACGACCGCAAGGUUGAAACUCAAAGGAAUUGACGGGGGCCCGCACAAGCGGUGGAGCAUGUGGUUUAAUUCGAAGCUACGCGAAGAACCUUACCAGGUCUUGACAUCUUGCGCCAACCCUAGAGAUAGGGCGUUUCCUUCGGGAACGCAAUGACAGGUGGUGCAUGGUCGUCGUCAGCUCGUGUCGUGAGAUGUUGGGUUAAGUCCCGCAACGAGCGCAACCCUUGUUACUAGUUGCCAGCAUUAAGUUGGGCACUCUAGUGAGACUGCCGGUGACAAACCGGAGGAAGGUGGGGACGACGUCAGAUCAUCAUGCCCCUUAUGACCUGGGCUACACACGUGCUACAAUGGACGGUACAACGAGUCGCAAACUCGCGAGGGCAAGCAAAUCUCUUAAAACCGUUCUCAGUUCGGACUGCAGGCUGCAACUCGCCUGCACGAAGUCGGAAUCGCUAGUAAUCGCGGAUCAGCAUGCCGCGGUGAAUACGUUCCCGGGCCUUGUACACACCGCCCGUCACACCAUGAGAGUUUGUAACACCCAAAGUCGGUGGGGUAACCUUUUAGGAGCCAGCCGCCUAAGGUGGGACAGAUGAUUAGGGUG